CCUACGGGAGGCAGCAGUGGGGGAUAUUGCACAAUGGGGGAAACCCUGAUGCAGCGACGCCGCGUGGGUGAAGAAGCGCCUCGGCGCGUAAAGCCCUGUCAGCAGGGAAGAAAAUGACGGUACCUGAAGAAGAAGCCCCGGCUAACUCCGUUCCAGCAGCCGCGGUAAUACGGAGGGGGCAAGCGUUAUCCGGAUUUACUGGGUGUAAAGGGGGCGCAGACGGCGAUGCAAGCCAGGAGUGAAGGCCCGGGGCCCAACCCCGAGACUUCAAUUGGAACUGCGUGGCUAGAGUGCAGGAGGGGCAGGCGGAAUUCGUGGUGUAGCGGUGAAAUGCGUAGAUAUCACGAGGAACACCGGUGGCGAAGGCGGCCUGCUGGACUGCAACUGACGUUGAGGCCCGAAAGUGUGGGGAGCAAACAGGAUUAGAUACCCGAGUAGUC
rnacentral:rRNA from 1 species